GAAUCAAAACUCUCUUCUGUUUCUGGAUUUUGUCUUCGGCGGGCUGUUUGAUCUUUGUUUCAUCGAAUCAGAAAUCUGUCGUUGGAUAGGUUAAUAAGAAAUUCAAGUCAGAAUAUGAGCUUUCCUGCACAAAACAAUAGAAGGAAUAACAACAGUAAUCGGCCUAGAAACAAUAAUAAUAAUCCUGUUGUUCAAAGUGGUGGUGCUCGUCGUGAGUGGGUAGCUAGGGGAUCUGCUCCAACCAACACUGUUCCAUUUUCAGCUGCCCCUGUUACCCCGGUAACAACAACCACUGUUGUGACCCCUGUGUUUGGUGGGAAUGGAAGAGACAAUGAGAAUGUGUCAUCUGCACCGUUUAAUCGAU
rnacentral:misc_RNA from 1 species